AAAACUCCUUCAUCAAUGAAAUAGUACUGCCGCUCUUACAAUCAACACUUCUUCAUUAUCUCCUCAACAAGUUGAAGCUUCCGAAGCUACAAACCUACUAGUAAUUACUUCAACUAGAGGAGAACAUAUAGUUAAUUGCUUAUCUACCUUCGAAGUAGGAUCAACAUCGACUGCAUCUCAUGCUGCAACUAAAUU